AUGCCGUCUUUCAUCGACGGCCCAAGCCUCCGGUCGCUGCUCCGGCCGUCCACGAACGGGCGCCGGACCAAGACGCCGGACAGCGCCGGCGGCGGCAAAGGAGGAGGCGGCCAUGGCCACGGAGGAGGGAUCUUCAAGAUGUUCAAGCUCAUGCCGAUGCUCUCGUCGGGGUGCAAGAUGGUGGCGCUGCUGGGCCGGCACAACAGCCGGGCGCUCCUCGCGGACCACGCCACGACGGUGACGCUCUUCGGCCACCGCCGCGGCCGCGUCAGCCUGGCCAUCCACGAGGACACCCGCGCGCCGCCGGUGUUCCUCAUCGAGCUGCCCAUGCUCACCAGCGCGCUGCACAAGGAGAUCGCGUCCGGGGUGGUCAAGCUGGCGCUGGAGAGCGACACCCGCAGCGCGCGCCGCCGGCUGGUCGAGGAGUACGUGUGGGCCGUCUUCUGCAACGGCCGCAAGGCCGGCUACUCCAUCCGCCGCAAGGACGCCUCCGACGACGAGCGCCACGUCAUGCGCCUGCUGCGCGGCGUCUCCAUGGGCGCCGGCGUGCUGCCGGCCGCGCCCGAGAAGGACGGCGGCGUGCCCGCGGGGCCCGACGGCGAGCUCACGUACGUGCGCGCCCGCGUUGAGCGCGUUGUCGGCUCCAAGGACUCGGAGGCGUUCUACAUGAUCAACCCCCACGAGGGCGGCGUCGGCGGCGACGGUGGCGACGACGGCAGCGCACCGGAGCUGAGCAUUUUCCUAGUGAGGAUGAAGUGA
rnacentral:rRNA from 1 species